rnacentral:rRNA from 1 species
GAUGAACGCUGGCGGCGUGCCUAACACAUGCAAGUCGAGCGGCAGCGAGGGGUGCUUGCACCCUGUCGGCGAGCGGCGGACGGCUGAGUAACGCGUGGGAACGUGCCCCAAAGUGAGGAAUAACUGCCCGAAAGGGUAGCUAAUACCGCAUAUUAUCUUCGGAUCAAAGGAUUUAUCCGCUUUGGGAGCGGCUCGCGUCGGAUUAGGUAGUUGGUGAGGUAAUGGCUCACCAAGCCGACGAUCCGUAGCUGGUCUGAGAGGAUGACCAGCCAGACUGGAACUGAGACACGGUCCAGACUCCUACGGGAGGCAGCGGUGAGGAAUCUUCCACAAUGGGCGAAAGCCUGAUGGAGCAACGCCGCGUGCAGGACGAAGGCCUUCGGGUUGUAAACUGCUUUUAUAAGUGAGGAAUAUGACGGUAACUUAUGAAUAAGAAUCGGCUAACUACGUG